UUGGCCGCAACGAUACGCUUCCUCGACGGAUUGGGAUUUCCGACCAAUCAACGAAAAGAAUAGGGCCAGAUCGACUGGCGAAAGGAGAGCCUUUAUCCAUGGGAGGCAGACUCUCCCACUUGGCUCCAGUUCAUUGGCUCCUGAGUUUACCCUACUAGAAAAACCUGGCACAAUGGAUUGAACCCUUAUAUUAGUCUAGUCCAGUUGUAUUGAUAACCUACACACCCGUCUUCUUCCAAAGCCUGAGGAUCCACUCUAACCCCUCUCCUUGGUCCUUCAGGACGCCGGCUCCAGCCACCUUUAUUCUGUACUCUGACUAGCACCCCAGCUCUUAAUCCACUCUACCCUAUCGUCAUUACACCCUUUCAUAAUCGUAAUCCCAUAGGCUUUACAGUUUCUCGGGGCUUGGAGAUACAUGCUUCCUUUCCACUCGUUAUUAAUAUUCAUGGCUAAAGGAGGGAGUGGACUCAAGUCCAGAAAGGAGUCAAAAGGCAGCUACAGAACACUCAGCAGAGCCCAAGGCAGCAAGAAAAUUGUACACUGAGACUUGGAAGUCCUUGGGCCCAAAAUGCCAGGUGUGGCCCGGAAGAGCAGCUCAAGACACCUGGAGUGGGACAGAGAGCAGGGAUAGAGAAGAGUCAACCUCAGAAACUCUGGGGUCCAGGCAGCUGACGUGUGAGGCUGAAGAGCCCAGAGUCUUGUGAGCCAUGAUAGCCAAGGCUGGGCCCAGACACCUGAAGGGGGCUGCUGAAGGGGUUUUGGCAAAGUGUGAAAGAAGGCGAUGUCCACGCAUGUGAGAAGAUCACUCACUCCAUGAUCUGUUCCUGGCACCCACC